rnacentral:rRNA from 1 species
UACGAGGGGGGCUAGCGUUGCUCGGAUUUACUGGGCGUAAAGGGCGCGUAGGCGGACAGUUAAGUUGGGGGUGAAAGCCCGGGGCUCAACCUCGGAAUUGCCUUCGAUACUGGCUGUCUUGAGUGUGAGAGAGGUGUGUGGAACUCCGAGUGUAGAGGUGAAAUUCGUAGAUAUUCGGAAGAACACCAGUGGCGAAGGCGACACACUGGCUCACUACUGACGCUGAGGCGCGAAAGCGUGGGGAGCAAACAGG